rnacentral:rRNA from 1 species
AUUCGUCCAAGUGAAGCAGAGGACAGUGGCGGACGGGUGAGUAACGCGUGAGGAACCUGCCUUUCAGAGGGGGACAACAGUUGGAAACGACUGCUAAUACCGCAUAAGCGCACAGGAUUGCAUGAUCUAGUGUGAAAACUCCGGUGGUAUAAGAUGGACCCGCGUCUGAUUAGCUAGUUGGUGAGGUAACGGCCCACCAAGGCGACGAUCAGUAGCCGGACUGAGAGGUUGACCGGCCACAUUGGGACUGAGAUACGGCCCAGACUCC